CCAAACUUGGUCAUUUAGAGGAAGUAAAAGUCGUAACAAGGUUUCCGUAGGUGAACCUGCGGAAGGAUCAUUAAACAAUAUGACUCUAAUCCUUUAUCCACCUUGUGUGCAACUUGAGAAAAAGCCUACUUUGGGAGGAUUAUGGAAGAUUAUUCAUUUAAUCUUUCCAAAGAGGUCAUCCUUCCAAAGAGGUCAUCACAAUCGAUUGCUUUUUUCUUUUCUUUUAUCAUUAUCUAAAUAUAAAUCGAAAUAAAAACAACUUUCAACAACGGAUCUCUUGGCUCUCGUGUCGAUGAAGAACGCAGC
rnacentral:misc_RNA from 1 species